AGCUGCGUGGUGAGCACAAAGCGAACUAUUCUUUCGCCUUUUACUAAAGAAUACCGUGUGCCCACCACACCAAGCAGCAUACAGCGAUUUUUGGAGGGAUCCCAUCUCCAUGUGAGAGGGU